rnacentral:rRNA from 1 species
UAACUACUGGAAACGGUAGCUAAUACCGCAUAACGUCGCAAGACCAAAGAGGGGGACCUUCGGGCCUCUUGCCAUCAGAUGUGCCCAGAUGGGAUUAGCUAGUAGGUGGGGUAACGGCUCACCUAGGCGACGAUCCCUAGCUGGUCUGAGAGGAUGACCAGCCACACUGGAACUGAGACACGGUCCAGACUCCUACGGGAGGCAGCAGUGGGGAAUAUUGCACAAUGGGCGCAAGCCUGAUGCAGCCAUGCCGCGUGUAUGAAGAAGGCCUUCGGGUUGUAAAGUACUUUCAGCGAGGAGGAAGGUGUUGAGGUUAAUAACCGCAGCAAUUGACGUUACCCGCAGAAGAAGCACCGGCUAACUCCGUGCCAGCAGCCGCGGUAAUACGGAGGGUGCAAGCGUUAAUCGGAAUUACUGGGCGUAAAGCGCACGCAGGCGGUCUGUCAAGUCGGAUGUGAAAUCCCCGGGCUCAACCUGGGAACUGCAUUCGAAACUGGCAGGCUAGAGUCUUGUAGAGGGGGGUAGAAUUCCAGGUGUAGCGGUGAAAUGCGUAGAGAUCUGGAGGAAUACCGGUGGCGAAGGCGGCCCCCUGGACAAAGACUGACGCUCAGGUGCGAAAGC